rnacentral:tRNA from 1 species
GCGGUAGUUCAGUCGGUUAGAAUACCUGCCUGUCACGCAGGGGGUCGC